AGGAUUAUAGUUUAUUUAAAAAACAUUUAAUUUGCAAUUAAAAAAAAUUGUACUAAAUCAAUUUAUCUUA
rnacentral:tRNA from 1 species